CACGGGUGCGUAACGCGUGGGAAUCUGCCCUUGGGUUCGGGAUAGCCGUGGGAAACGACGGCUAAUACCGGAUGAUGACGUAAGUCCAAAGAUUUAUCGCCGAGGGAUGAGCCCGCGUAGGAUUAGCUAGUUGGUGUGGUAAAGGCGCACCAAGGCGACGAUCCUUAGCUGGUCUGAGAGGAUGAUCAGCCACACUGGGACUGAGACACGGCCCAGACUCCUACGGGAGGCAGCAGUGGGGAAUAUUGGACAAUGGGCGAGAGCCUGAUCCAGCAAUGCCGCGUGAGUGAUGAAGGCCUUAGGGUUGUAAAGCUCUUUUACCCGGGAUGAUAAUGACAGUACCGGGAGAAUAAGCUCCGGCUAACUCCGUGCCAGCAGCCGCGGUAAU
rnacentral:rRNA from 1 species